CCGCCCUGGGCGCGCGGGGUGGGCUCGGGGGCGCGCACGCUCUGCGUGCCGGGCGCUCGGGACUGUACCUGGCGCGGCCCAAAGGCCCGCAGUUAGGCCUGCCAUGUUCCUCUCCGCGGCGCUUCGGGCCCGUGCGGCCGGCUUCGCCGCCCAGUGGGGAAGACAUGUAAGGAAUUUGCAUAAGACAGCUGUGCAGAAUGGAGCUGGAGGAGCCUUAUUUGUGCACAGAGAUACUCCUGAGAAUAACCCAGAUACUCCAUUUGAUUUCACACCGGAAAACUAUAAGAGGAUAGAGGCAAUUGUAAAAAACUACCCAGAAGGGCAUAAAGCAGCAGCUGUGCUUCCAGUCCUGGAUUUAGCCCAAAGACAGAAUGGAUGGCUGCCCAUCUCUGCUAUGAACAAGGUUGCAGAAGUUUUACAGGUACCUCCAAUGAGGGUAUAUGAAGUAGCAACUUUUUAUACAAUGUAUAAUCGAAAGCCAGUUGGAAAGUAUCAUGUUCAAGUCUGCACUACUACGCCUUGCAUGCUUCGUAACUCCGACAGCAUACUGGAGGCCAUUCAGAAAAAGCUUGGAAUAAAGGUUGGAGAGACUACACCUGACAAACUUUUCACUCUUAUAGAAGUGGAAUGUUUAGGGGCCUGUGUAAACGCACCAAUGGUUCAAAUAAAUGACAACUACUAUGGCUUCCCUGGUGGAGCAGUGGUUAAGAAUCUGCCUGCCAGUGCAGGGGACACAGGUUCAAGCCCUGGUCUGGGAAGAUCCCACGUGUCGUGGAGCAACUAAGCCUGUGCACCACAACUGCUGAGGCUGCGAGCCACAACUACUGAAGCCCGUGUGCCUAGAGCCCGUGCUUCACAACAAGAGAGGCCACUGCAGUGAGAAGCCCGCGCAUCGCAACGAAGAGUAGACCCUGCUCACCACAACUAGAGAAAGCCUGCACACAGCAAGAAAGACCCAACGUGGCCAAAAGGAUCGAACCUGUGUCCCCCACAUUGGAGGUGUAUUCUUAACCACUGGACCACCAGGGAAGUCCCAUUACAAGUUUUGGUAAGUAAUAUUUUUAUCAUUUAGUUCUAAAUAUUUUUAAAUUUGCAUUUUGAUUUCUUCUUUGACCUGUGUUUUUGAGAAGUGUUCUUAAUAUCCAAGUGUAUGGAGUUUUCUAGUUAUCUUUUUUUAAUUGCUUGCUACCCUAAUUAUAUCAUGGCUGUCAUUCAUAAUAUCUUGUUAGUUCAUAAUUCUUAGAAGUUUGUUUAUGGAAAUUCUUUUAAGACCUGUGUCGAAGGUAGAUACUUCAAGAAGGGAUUGACUUUGCUUCUCUCUUGCUCCUGGAAAUACUACUGGCCCAAAAGAAAUCCCCUCUUCUUAAAUCCUCCCUUCUUCUUCCCCUAAAGUGUAAGUUCCAGAGUAGCAGGGUUGUUUUGGGGGACAGUUUUAAUUUCUAGUUUUCCCUUAUAUUGAGGGUAGAGUUUUUGGGGGGGUCUCAGCUUUAUGUGGUUUGGAUGACCUCCUGUGUCCUGGAGAUUUGUCCCUUGCCCCUCUAGGCUAUGAAACUCUGAAGCCACGGUUUUUUGCUGUUCCACUGUCUCCCUAAGUUUUCAUUGAGUUUUUGGCCUCUGGGUAUUUUUUUCUUGUCAGUGCCUUGAUAUUGAUAAAAUUUUAAAGUUUUUAAAAAAAUUUUAUCCAGCAUUGUUAGUUGUUACAAUAGGACAUUCAGUCAGGAUAGCUGGACUGCCAUAAUGCCUGUAAUGGAAAUCUACAAUUUUUUUUUUUUAAUGAAGAUGAAAUUGGACUUCUUUGGCAUUUUACAUUUCUAGGAUGUUUUUAUUACCUAUAGGGGUUUUCUUCAUUUUAAUGAUGGUGAUUCAAAUUUCUUACCUUCUCUUUCUCAUACUUAAAAAAAAAAUUCCUUUAAAAAUAUGGCAAUAACUUACCCUUUUCCCACACUUCUGCAAUUUACUCAUAAUCGUGAGGAUCUUAAUUUAAUCAGGAAGUAGACAGUCAAGGCUUUAUAUGAAGCACUGUAAGUCUAAAUAUAGUAGACUGUGGAUUUAUGCAAGAGAUUCAGUGAGUAGUGGUAUGGUCUUUGGUGAGGCAGUUAACUGUUUUAUUAUUAUUUAUUUAUUUUUGGCUGCCUUGGGUCUUCGUUGCUGCACGCGGGCUUUCCUUAGUUGCAUCGAGUGGGGACUACUCUUCGUUGCGGUGUGUGGGCUUCUCACUGCGGUAGCUUCUCUUGUGGAGCACGGGCUCUAGGCGUGUGGGCUUCGGUAGUUGUGGCACAUGGGCUCUAGAGCACGGGCUCAGUAGUCGUGGCCCACGGGGUUAGUUGCUCUGUGGCAUGUGGCAUGUUCCCGGACCAGGGCUCGAACCGGUGUUCCCUGCCAAUCUUGGCAGGCGGAUUCUUAACCACUGCGCCACCUGGGAAGCCUGAGGCAGUUAACUUUUAUGGAUCUCAGCUGACCAGUGGAUAAAAUGAAAUAGUCACAUAAACUGUGAUUGGAUACCGAUUAGAGAGAAAUAUUAAAUACAUUUUGAGGAUGGUUGGGUAGCUUUGAAUAUGGUCUUGACAUUUGAUUUUAUUAAGGAAUUAUUGUUAGUUAAUUGGGUGUGGUAAUGACAUUGUGUUACUUAAGAACAUUUAAAAAUGUUCUGGGAGUUCCCUGGCGGUCCAGUGGUCAGGACUCUGGGCUUUUACUGCUGUGGCCUGGGUACAGUCCCUGGUCAGGGAACUAAGAUCCCACAAGCUGUGCAGUGAGGCCAAAAAAAAAAAAAAGUUCUUAGGAGAUGCCCGCCCGCUGUGUUUAUUAGGGGUGAAGUGUCAUGAUGUCUGCAACUUGCUUUUAAAUGUACAGCCAAAAAAAAAACACAAACAAAACAAAACCAAAAGGCAUAUGUGUACAUAAUUCAGAUAUGGUAAGGAAUAUGGUUAUUCAUGUAUACUUUUCAAAUUUUCAUAAUAAAGAGUUGGGGGAGAUAAAAUCAUUAGGUGAGUUUAGAGAUUGCUUCUAGUUUUGAGGUUCUGAGCAUCUGUUGCACCCUAAGCAGUUCUUAUUUUUAUAAAUGUUUAUUCUAUAUUAAAGGGCUUCUAUGAGGCCAGGCAUUGAAUAUACAGUACUGAAUCAUGAUUUCUCUAGCAUAGUACCAGGGUCCUAAAAACAUUUUCUUAAGUACGUAACAGUUUGGGAGGGGUAGAGGGGAUAUAAUGUAGUUUAGGCACUUUUAUUAGUUUAAUCUUGCCCCAUUCUGUUUUGACUGUCUUUUGACUAAACCUAGGGUGCAGCCAGGGGUAGGAGUGUGUCUAUGUGUUUUAAUUGUAUUUGUUAUUUUAAAUAACAGAACCCUUGAGGUAAGAAUUUUACACAGGUGCAUAGUGUACAAAAUACAAAGCUGUUCUGGUUGAAACGGGGAUUGGAGGGUCAGGAUUUAUUAAAAUAAAUGUGUCCAAAAUAAGUUUUUUACUUUUCCCUUUGAAAAUUAAGUGAAGUUUGCAACAGGAUGAAUUUCACCUGGGAAAUAAAGAAGAUAUCACUAGGGUACUAGAUCAUUAGCUUAGGGACAGAUAUUAGGCAUCUACUUUUUAUGACUGCUGGUGCUAAUUACUAUUUGCAUCUCACUGAUUCUUCAAGGACAUAGCAUUUGUUGAGCAUCUGCAUGGCAGUGUUCUAUUUUAUUUAUUUUCUCUUUUAAUCCUCAAAA